CUACGGGGCGCACCAGUGAGGAAUAUUGCACAAUGGGGGGAACCCUGAUGCAGCAACGCCGCGUGGAGGAUGACGCAUUUCGGUGUGUAAACUCCUUUUAUAUGUCAAGAAAAUGACGGUAACAUAUGAAUAAGCGCCGGCUAACUCCGUGCCAGCAGCCGCGGUAAUACGGAGGGCGCAAGCGUUACUCGGAAUCACUGGGCGUAAAGGACGCGUAGGCGGGUUGAAAAGUCAGGUGUGAAAGCCUACAGCUUAACUGUAGAACUGCACUUGAAACUCUCAAUCUAGAGUAUGGGAGGGGCAGAUGGAAUUAGUGGUGUAGGGGUAAAAUCCGUAGAUAUCACUAGGAAUACCUAAAGCGAAGGCGAUCUGCUGGAACAUUACUGACGCUAAGGCGUGAAAGCGUGGGGAGCAAACAGGAUUAGAUACCCGCGUAGUC
rnacentral:rRNA from 1 species